UGAGUAGAGCGGCGCAAGGGUGAGUAACGCGUGGAUAAUCUGCCCUGAAGAUCGGGAUAACAGUUGGAAACGACUGCUAAUACCGUAUAAUCUGCAUAUUUAACUUUAUGUGGGAAAGGUGGCCUCUAUUUAUAAGCUACCGCUUUUGGAUGAGUCCGCGUCUCAUUAGCUUGUUGGUGGGGUAAUGGCCUACCAAGGCAACGAUGAGUAGCUGGUCUGAGAGGAUGAUCAGCCACACUGGGACUGAAACACGGCCCAGACUCCUACGGGAGGCAGCAGUGGGGAAUAUUGCGCAAUGGGGGAAACCCUGACGCAGCGACGCCGCGUGUAGGAAGAAGGCCUUCGGGUCGUAAACUACUGUCAAGAGGGAAGAAACUGUUGGUUCAUAAUACGGACCUUCACUGACGGUACCUCUAGAGGAAGCACCGGCUAACUCCGUGCCAGCAGCCGCGGUAAUACGGAGGGUGCGAGCGUUAAUCGGAAUCACUGGGCGUAAAGCGUGCGUAGGCGGCGCUUCAAGUCAGGCGUGAAAGCCCUCGGCUCAACCGAGGAAUUGCGUUUGAAACUGGAGUGCUAGAGUCUCGGAGAGGUUGGCGGAAUUCCAGGUGUAGGAGUGAAAUCCGUAGAUAUCUGGAGGAACACCGGUGGCGAAGGCGGCCAACUGGACGAGUACUGACGCUGAGGUACGAAAGCGUGGGUAGCAAACAGGAUUAGAUACCCUGGUAGUCCACGCUGUAAACGAUGGAUAUUAGGUGUCGGGUUUUCAAUUCGGUGCCGCAGUUAACGCGUUAAAUAUCCCGCCUGGGGAGUACGGUCGCAAGGCUGAAACUCAAAGGAAUUGACGGGGGCCCGCACAAGCGGUGGAGUAUGUGGUUUAAUUCGAUGCAACGCGAAGAACCUUACCUAGGCUUGAC
rnacentral:rRNA from 1 species